GAGAGAUUCACGAGCACGACUGAAAAUCGUGGUGUCGCCGGUUCGAUUCCGGCCCUCGCCA
rnacentral:tRNA from 1 species